rnacentral:rRNA from 1 species
AGCAUCUGGGUCAACCUCCCACCCGUGUUUAUCGUACCUUGUUGCUUCGGCGGGCCCGCCUCACGGCCGCCGGGGGGCAUCUGCCCCCGGGCCCGCGCCCGCCGAAGACACCAAUGAACUCUUGUCUGAAGAUUGCAGUCUGAGCAGAUUAGCUAAAUCAGUUAAAACUUUCAACAACGGAUCUCUUGGUUCCGGCAUCGAUGAAGAACGCAGCGAAAUGCGAUACGUAAUGUGAAUUGCAGAAUUCAGUGAAUCAUCGAGUCUUUGAACGCACAUUGCGCCCCCUGGUAUUCCGGGGGGCAUGCCUGUCCGAGCGUCAUUGCUGCCCUCAAGCACGGCUUGUGUGUUGGGCUUCGCCCCCCGGCUCCCGGGGGGCGGGCCCGAAAGGCAGCGGCGGCACCGCGUCCGGUCCUCGAGCGUAUGGGGCUUCGUCACCCGCUCUGUAGGCCCGGCCGGCGCCCGCCGGCGACCCCAAUCAAUCUUUCCAGGUUGACCUCGGAUCAGGUAGGGAUACCCGCUGAACUUAAGCAUAUCAAUAACCCAGAGGAAA